UAGGGAAUCUUCCGCAAUGGGCGAAAGCCUGACGGAGCAACGCCGCGUGAGUGAUGACGGUCUUCGGAUCGUAAAACUCUGUUAUUAGGGAAGAACAAAUGUGUAAGUAACUAUGCACGUCUUGACGGUACCUAAUCAGAAAGCCACGGCUAACUACGUGCCAGCAGCCGCGGUAAUACGUAGGUGGCAAGCGUUAUCCGGAAUUAUUGGGCGUAAAGCGCGCGUAGGCGGUUUUUUAAGUCUGAUGUGAAAGCCCACGGCUCAACCGUGGAGGGUCAUUGGAAACUGGAAAACUUGAGUGCAGAAGAGGAAAGUGGAAUUCCAUGUGUAGCGGUGAAAUGCGCAGAGAUAUGGAGGAACACCAGUGGCGAAGGCGACUUUCUGGUCUGUAACUGACGCUGAUGUGCGAAAGCGUGGGGAUCAAACAGG
rnacentral:rRNA from 1 species